UAGUUGUGUGAAUGAUCUUUUGACUUGAGAUGAUACUACUGCUUGCAGUGAGGCUGCUUGAGUUUGACUGACACAUAAACAUGAAUCUCAAUGAGUCCUUGUAGUGGAUGUUGGCGAUAGUUGGUCUACUGUAGGAAUAGGAUACGCUUCAAAAUGAGAUCUAUCGAUCUUGAUAGAGAGGAGUAGUCUUAUAGGAUUUGAGAGGCUAAGUUCGAGAGUCUGUGGCCACAAUAGUGUGAUUGAUGGAAAAGAGUUUUCAUAAAAAUCAUAAUUGGAUUUGAGCUGAUUGAAUCUGUCAUAUGACUGAUAUUGAGGUUUGAUGAUUUAUUCAUAACCUGUCAUCUAGUCGAGACUCACGAUAGAGGGACUGAAUCAUACAUUAACUAGACCUUGAGGUUCAUUUCGGUUCUACUAAUUGGUCACUACAUACUGCUAGGUGUCACU
rnacentral:lncRNA from 1 species